rnacentral:rRNA from 1 species
UACGAAGGGGGCUAGCGUUGCUCGGAAUUACUGGGCGUAAAGGGCGCGUAGGCGGAUGACUAAGUUGGGGGUGAAAGCCCGGGGCUCAACCUCGGAACUGCCUUCAAUACUGGUCAUCUUGAGUUCGGGAGAGGUGUGUGGAACUCCGAGUGUAGAGGUGAAAUUCGUAGAUAUUCGGAAGAACACCAGUGGCGAAGGCGACACACUGGCCCGAUACUGACGCUGAGGCGCGAAAGCGUGGGGAGCAAAC